rnacentral:rRNA from 1 species
GACGAACGCUGGCGGCGUGCUUAACACAUGCAAGUCGAACGGAAAGGCCCCCUUGUGGGGUACUCGAGUGGCGAACGGGUGAGUAACACGUGAGUAACUUACCCUUGACUUUGGGAUAACUUCAGGAAACUGGGGCUAAUACCGGAUAGGAGCUCCUGCUGCAUGGUGGGGGUUGGAAAGUUUCGGCGGUUGGGGAUGGACUCGCGGCUUAUCAGCUUGUUGGUGGGGUAGUGGCUCACCAAGGCUUUGACGGGUAGCCGGCCUGAGAGGGUGACCGGCCACAUUGGGACUGAGAUACGGCCCAGACUCCUACGGGAGGCAGCAGUGGGGAAUAUUGCACAAUGGGCGGAAGCCUGAUGCAGCAACGCCGCGUGCGGGAUGACGGCCUUCGGGUUGUAAACCGCUUUCGCCUGUGACGAAGCGUGAGUGACGGUAAUGGGUAAAGAAGCACCGGCUAACUACGUG